rnacentral:rRNA from 1 species
UACAGAGGGUGCAAGCGUUGUUCGGAAUUAUUGGGCGUAAAGCGCGUGUAGGCGGUUUUGCAAGUCGGGUGUGAAAUCCCUCAGCUCAACUGAGGAAGUGCGCCCGAAACUGCAGAGCUUGAGUACCGGAGAGGAUGGCGGAAUUCCCCAAGUAGAGGUGAAAUUCGUAGAUAUGGGGAGGAACACCGGUGGCGAAGGCGGCCAUCUGGACGGAUACUGACGCUGAGACGCGAAAGCAUGGGGAGCAAACAGG